rnacentral:rRNA from 1 species
AUUGAACGCUGGCGGCAGGCCUAACACAUGCCAGUCGAGCGGAUGAAGGGAGCUUGCUCCUGGAUUCAGCGACGGACGGGUGAGUAAUGCCUAGGAAUCUGCCUGGUAGUGGGGGAUAACGUCCGGAAACGGGCGCUAAUACCGCAUACGUCCUGAGGGAGAAAGUGGGGGAUCUUCGGACCUCACGCUAUCAGAUGAGCCUAGGUCGGAUUAGCUAGUUGGUGGGGUAAAGGCCUACCAAGGCGACGAUCCGUAACUGGUCUGAGAGGAUGAUCAGUCACACUGGAACUGAGACACGGUCCAGACUCCUACGGGAGGCAGCAGUGGGGAAUAUUGGACAAUGGGCGAAAGCCUGAUCCAGCCAUGCCGCGUGUGUGAAGAAGGUCUUCGGAUUGUAAAGCACUUUAAGUUGGGAGGAAGGGCAGUAAGUUAAUACCUUGCUGCUUUGACGUUACCAACAGAAUAAGCACCGGCUAACUUCGUG